rnacentral:misc_RNA from 1 species
GUGAGUCAUCGAAUCUUUGAACGCACAUUGCACCCUUUGGUAUUCCGAAGGGUACACCCGUUUGAGUGUCAUUGUAAUCUCACUACAAUCACUUUAUUGUUGUUUGUAUGUGGACCUGGAUGUUGCUGUGUAACAAACGGCUCGUCUGAAAUGCCUGAGUGUACCCUGCUUUUGCGGCGUAUUCGGUGUGAUAAAUCUUCACCGGAGUUGACUUUCGGGUCGCGUCUGCUUAACAUGGCUCUAUGCUUCCAACUGUCCUAACAAGACAAUCUUUGACAAUUUGACCUCAAAUCGGGUGGG